rnacentral:rRNA from 1 species
GACGAACGCUGGCGGCGUGCUUAACACAUGCAAGUCGAACGGAAAGGCCCUGCUCUUGUGGGGUGCUCGAUUGGCGAAGGGGGGAGUAACACGUGAGUAACCUCCCCUUGACUUUGUGAUAACUUCAGGAAACUGGGGCUAAUACCGGAGAGGAGCUCCUGCUGCAUGGUGGGGGUUGGAAAGUUUCGGCGGUUGGGGAUGGGUUCGCGGCUUAUCAGCUGGUUGGGGGGGUAGUGGUUUACCAAGGCUUUGACGGGUAGCCGGCCUGAGAGGGUGACCGGGGACCUUGGGCCUGCGAUACGCACCAGAAUGCUACGGGAGGCAGUAGUGGAAAAUAUUGCGCAAUGGGCGGAAGCCUGAUACAGAAGCGCCGCGUGCGGAAUGCUGGCCUACGGGUUGUAAACCGCUUUCGCCUGUGACGAAGAGUGAGUGACGGUACUGGGUAAAGAAGCACCGGCUAACUACGUG